rnacentral:rRNA from 1 species
GAUUGAACGCUGGCGGCAUGCCUUACACAUGCAAGUCGAACGGUAACGCGGGCAACCUGGCGACGAGUGGCGAACGGGUGAGUAAUAUAUCGGAACGUGCCCAGUUGUGGGGGAUAACUGCUCGAAAGAGCAGCUAAUACCGCAUACGACCUGAGGGUGAAAGCGGGGGAUCGCAAGACCUCGCGCAAUUGGAGCGGCCGAUAUCAGAUUAGGUAGUUGGUGGGGUAAAGGCCUACCAAGCCGACGAUCUGUAGCUGGUCUGAGAGGACGACCAGCCACACUGGGACUGAGACACGGCCCAGACUCCUACGGGAGGCAGCAGUGGGGAAUUUUGGACAAUGGGCGCAACCCUGAUCCAGCCAUGCCGCGUGCGGGAAGAAGGNCUUCGGGUUGUAAACCGCUUUUGUCAGGGAAGAAAAGAUCCCUACUAAUACUGGNGGUUCAUGACGGUA